UACGUAGGGUGCGAGCGUUAAUCGGAAUUACUGGGCGUAAAGCGUGCGCAGGCGGUGAUGUAAGACAGUUGUGAAAUCCCCGGGCUCAACCUGGGAACUGCAUCUGUGACUGCAUCGCUGGAGUGCGGCAGAGGGGGGUGGAAUUCCACGUGUAGCAGUGAAAUGCGUAGAGAUGUGGAGGAACACCGAUGGCGAAGGCAGCCCCCUGGGUCAACACUGACGCUCAUGCACGAAAGCGUGGGGAGC
rnacentral:rRNA from 1 species